UUGACGGGGAGCACCACGAACGGGUGGAGCUUGCGGUUUAAUUUGGAUUCAACGCCGAAAUCUUACCGGGACCGACAGCAAUAUGAAGGCCAGGCUGAAGACUUUGCCGGAUUAGCUGAGAGGUGGUGCAUGGCCGUCGUCAGUUCGUACUGUGAAGCAUCCUGUUAAGUCAGGCAACGAGCGAGACCCACGCCCACAGUUGCCAGCGUACUCUCUGGAGUGACGGGUACACUGUGGGGACCGCCGCUGCUAAAGCGGAGGAAGGAAUGGGCAACGGUAGGUCAGUAUGCCCCGAAUAUCCCGGGCUACACGCGAGCUACAAUGGUUGGUACAAUGGGUAUCUACCCCGAAAGGGGACGGGAAUCUCCUAAAACCAAUCUUAGUUCGGAUUGAGGGCUGCAACUCGCCCUCAUGAAGCUGGAAUCCGUAGUAAUCGCGUUUCAACAGAACGCGGUGAAUACGUCCCUGCUCCUU
rnacentral:rRNA from 1 species